rnacentral:tRNA from 1 species
CACUAUGAAGCUACAGGACAGCAACAGCCUUUUAAGCUGCAGAUUGAUGGUUCAGACCACCCCUAGUGA